UACGUAGGGGCGAGCGUUGUCCGGAGUUACUGGGCGUAAAGGGCAUGCAGGCGGUCGGACGCGUUUCGGGUGACAGCGGGUGGCUUAACUACCCGAGUGGUCGAAAGACGGUUUGACUUGAGGACGCGAGAGGGACACGGAAUCCGGGUGGAGUGGUGAAAUGCGUAGAGAGUCCGGAGGAACACCGAAGGCGAAGGCAGUGUCCUGGCGCGUAACUGACGCUGAGGUGCGAAACCAGGGAGCGGAACGGG
rnacentral:rRNA from 1 species